AUUGAACGCUGGCGGCAUGCUUUACACAUGCAAGUCGAACGGGCUUGGGGGCUUGCUCCCAAGUUAGUGGCGAACGGGUGAGUAAUACAUCGGAACGUACCGUGUAGUGGGGGAUAACGUAGCGAAAGUUACGCUAAUACCGCAUACAAUCUACGGAUGAAAGCAGGGGACCUUCGGGCCUUGUGCUAUACGAGCGGCCGAUGUCUGAUUAGCUAGUUGGUGAGGUAAAGGCUCACCAAGGCGACGAUCAGUAGCGGGUCUGAGAGGAUGAUCCGCCACACUGGGACUGAGACACGGCCCAGACUCCUACGGGAGGCAGCAGUGGGGAAUUUUUGGGACAAUGGGCGAAAGCCUGAUCCAGCCAUGCCGCGUGUCUGAAGAAGGCCUUAGGGUUGUAAAGGACUUUUGUCAGGGAGCAAAACUUACUGGUUAAUACCCGGUGAGGCUGAGAGUACCUGAAGAAUAAGCACCGGCUAACUACGUGCCAGCAGCCGCGGUAAU
rnacentral:rRNA from 1 species